CCAGACUCCUACGGGAGGCAGCAGUGGGGAAUAUUGGGCAAUGGGCGCAAGCCUGACCCAGCAACGCCGCGUGAAGGAAGAAGGCUUUCGGGUUGUAAACUUCUUUUAAGGGGGACGAAACAAAUGACGGUACCUCUUGAAUAAGCCACGGCUAACUACGUGCCAGCAGCCGCGGUAAUACGUAGGUGGCAAGCGUUAUCCGGAUUUAUUGGGUGUAAAGGGCGUGUAGGCGGGAAAGCAAGUCAGAUGUGAAAACUAGGGGCUCAACCCAUAGCCUGCAUUUGAAACUGUUUUUCUUGAGUGCUGGAGAGGCAAUCGGAAUUCCGUGUGUAGCGGUGAAAUGCGUAGAUAUACGGAGGAACACCAGUGGCGAAGGCGGAUUGCUGGACAGUAACUGACGCUGAGGCGCGAAAGUGUGGGGAGCAAACAGGAGUAGAUACCCCAGUA
rnacentral:rRNA from 1 species